UUUUUAAAUAAUAAAAAUGCCAAUUGAACAGGAUGAGAUGUUUCCUGAAGGAGCGAGUUCUUCAACAUGGGAAACUGAAGAGAUACCAAGUGGCAGUGUAAAUCCAUUAGAUGUCGCCCAUGGAAAUGCUGUACAUGCAGAUUUCAAUAAUGCCUUUGAUGACUUGUUCGACGAUGACGAUUUGCAAUGAAGCUCUUAACCUGUUUACAUAGGACGGUUUAUGUGCUUGAAACCAACACCGGCUAUGCGACGUAUUUGCAUCCCAACUUUUUAUCUGUAUCAUAUUUUUAAUGUUCCUCCCUUUGUAUUUCGGUUACAGCUAAGUGAACAGCUUAACAAUUAACUUUUGUAGUUUUGUUUGCGAAAUAGAUAUAUUGGUCUUUAGAA